rnacentral:rRNA from 1 species
CCUUAUCCGACCUCCGUUGGGUAGGGGAGCAUUGCACUGGCCUGUGAAGGUAGACCGAGAGGACUGCUGGAGGUUGUGCAAGGGAUUAUGCUGACAUGAGUAACGAUAAAGCGGGUGAGAAUCCCGCUCGCCGUAAGCCUAAGGUUUCCUGGGUAAAGGUCGUCUGCCCAGGGUAAGUCGGUCCCUAAGGUGAGGCCGAGAGGCGUAGCUGAUGGGAAACAGGUUAAUAUUCCUGUACCACCGGGGAAGCGUUUGAGCGAUGGGGGGACGCAGGAGGGUAGGCCAUCCGGGUGAUGGAAGUCCCGGUACAAGCUGGUAGGCGGGGGGUUUAGGCAAAUCCGGACCCUUGUAUAACGCCGAGAGGUGAUGUGGAGGGCGCAAGCCCAUAAACUGGUUGAUCCCAUACUGCCAAGAAAAGCCUCGUAGCGAGUUUUCCAGGUGACCGUACCGCAAACCGACACAGGUAGGCGAGGAGAGAAUCCUCAGGCGCGUGAGAGAACCCUGGUUAAGGAACUCGGCAAAAUGACACCGUAACUUCGGGAGAAGGUGUGCCCUCAUUAGGUGAAGAUACUUGCUAUUGGAGCUGAAGGGGGUUGCAGAGAAGAGGCGGUAGCGACUGUUUACUAAAAACACAGGACUCUGCUAAAUCGCAAGAUGACGUAUAGGGUCUGACGCCUGCCCGGUGCUGGAAGGUUAAGGGGUGGUGUUAUCGGGGGCAACCUUGAGAAGCGCUGAACCGAAGCCCCAGUAAACGGCGGCCGUAACAAUAACGGUCCUAAGGUAGCGAAAUUCCUUGUCGGGUAAGUUCCGACCUGCACGAAUGGCGUAACGACUUCCGCGCUGUCUCAACCAGGGACUCAGUGAAAUUGCAGUCUCGGUGCAGAUACCGAGUACCCGCGGCUAGACGGAAAGACCCCGUGCACCUUUACUACAGCUUGGCAUUGGAUUUUGGGCGUGUAUGUGUAGGAUAGGUGGGAGGCAAUGAAGUGGGGGCGCCAGCCUUCAUGGAGCCAGCGUUGAAAUACCACCCUUAUGCGUUUAGAGUUCUAACCUGGAUGAGUGAACCCUCAUUGGGGACAGUGCCUGGUGGGUAGUUUGACUGGGGCGGUCGCCUCCCAAAAGGUAACGGAGGCGCGCGAAGGUUCCCUCAGGCUGAUUGGAAACCAGCCGUAGAGUGUAAAGGCAGAAGGGAGCCUGACUGUGAGAGAGACAUUUCGAGCAGGGACGAAAGUCGGUCUUAGUGAUCCGGCGGUUCUGAAUGGAAGGGCCGUCGCUCAACGGAUAAAAGGUACGCCGGGGAUAACAGGCUGAUCUCCCCCAAGAGUUCACAUCGACGGGGAGGUUUGGCACCUCGAUGUCGGCUCAUCGCAUCCUGGGGCUGGAGCAGGUCCCAAGGGUUCGGCUGUUCGCCGAUUAAAGCGGUACGUGAGCUGGGUUUAAAACGUCGUGAGACAGUUUGGUCCCUAUCUACCGUGGGCGCAGGAAUUUUGAGGGGUACUGUCCCUAGUACGAGAGGACCGGGAUGGACGAACCUCUGGUGUACCAGUUGUCACGCCAGUGGCAGCGCUGGGUAGCUAAGUUCGGACGGGAUAACCGCUGAAAGCAUCUAAGCGGGAAGCCUUCCCCAAGAUGAGAAUUCCCCUCCGGAGCGAUCCGGGCUGAAGGCCCCUUGAAGACCACAAGGUUGAUAGGUCGGGUGUGUAAGCACAGUAAUGUGUUGAGCUAACCGAUCCUAAUGGGCCGUGCGGCUUGACCAU